rnacentral:rRNA from 1 species
UUCAAGCAUAUCAAUAAGCGGAGGAAAAGAAACUAACAAGGAUUCCCCUAGUAAUGGCGAAUGAAGCGGGAACAGCUCAAAUUUGAAAUCUCCGUCGCCUGCGACGGCGAAUUGUAGUUUCGAGAAGCACUUUCUAGGCGGACCCGGGGCCGUCCAAGUUGCUUGGAACAGCACGUCAUAGAGGGUGACAACCCCGUCUGUGGCGGAACCGGCCGCUGACGAUGCGCUUUCGACGAGUGGGUUGCUU